rnacentral:rRNA from 1 species
AUUGAACGCUGGCGGCAGGCUUAACACAUGCAAGUCGAGCGGAGAGAGGUAGCUUGCUACUGAUCUUAGCGGCGGACGGGUGAGUAAUGCUUAGGAAUCUGCCUAUUAGUGGGGGACAACAUUUCGAAAGGAAUGCUAAUACCGCAUACGUCCUACGGGAGAAAGCAGGGGACCUUCGGACCUUGCGCUAAUAGAUGAGCCUAAGUCGGAUUAGCUAGUUGGUGGGGUAAAGGCCUACCAAGGCGACGAUCUGUAGCGGGUCUGAGAGGAUGAUCCGCCACACUGGGACUGAGACACGGCCCAGACUCCUACGGGAGGCAGCGGUGGGGAAUAUUGGACAAUGGGCGGAAGCCUGAUCCAGCCAUGCCGCGUGUGUGAAGAAGGCCUUAUGGUUGUAAAGCACUUUAAGCGAGGAGGAGGCUACUUUAGUUAAUACCUAGAGAUAGUGGACGUUACUCGCAGAAUAAGCACCGGCUAACUCUGUGCCAGCAGCCGCGGUAAGAC